UUUUCUUUUUUUUCCCCUUUUUUUGUUACCAUUUGUAACAAUUAAAUUAUAAAACCAUUUUUAAAAAAUGAGAUUUUUCAUUUUACAUUGACUAAUCUAAUUUUACAAUUUUCCACACUGCUUCUUUAACAUAUUAAAUUGAGGAGUGUCAAGCUGUAUCGUGGGAGGAUUCACUCACCACACAAAGAGACUGAGAGUCUCUAGAUUUCACUGAACAACCGAAGAAAAUGGUUUGCAUGUUUGUUUUGUUCUCUUUGUACUGGUGGCGUUUGACUGGUGUGUUUGGUGAGUCAGUGUCAGUGAUGGAAGGAGAUUCUGUCACUCUACACACUGUUACUGCAAUACAUGAAGAUGAAGACAUACUGUGGAAAUUUGGAAAUGAAAAGUCUCUGAUAGCUAAACUCAAGAGACAGAACCAAAUCUUCCCUGAUGAGAGAUUCAGAGACAGACUGAAGCUGGACAGACAGACUGGAUCUCUGAUCAUCACAAACAUCACAACUCAACAAGCUGGAAUCUAUGAAGUAAAGAUCAGUGGACUGAAAUGAACAACAAAAUCAUUUAGUGUUUCUGUCUAUGAUCAGAGCCUACCCUUGUUUUACAUUUUGCUGAUUUCUGCUGCUGGAUCUCUGUUGAUUGUAACUGCAGUUGUGAUGUGCUGCAGGAAAUGUAGAAAAACAG
ensembl:lncRNA